ensembl:lncRNA
UUUUUUCAAAUAGUGAACCACAUCUGUAAAGUUCUGAAAUGAUAGCUGCUAUUAUGUGCUCAUCUGCUUGGCACAGUAAUUAAAGUAUACUUUAAUGCUCUGAGACAUGUGUUCAGAAGUAUGGAUUGAAAUAAUCACUCUGCCCCUAUAGAAUUUGCUUGCUGAGUCCAACAGCAUAUGUGUUGCUAUAGAAAGCUGUGAGUUUGUAUAUCGUAUGUGAAUACAGUUACAUAUGGUGUUUCGUAUGUUUUAUUAAAUCUAAAUACAAAAAUAAAUUUUGUUUUGCGGGGUUAUUUACAUAUUUAUCCAGUGUGGGACAAGCAUUUUUACAGGUAAAACUUGCACUGUAAUAACCACUAAAGGUGGAAUUGUCAAGCUGCUCAAAUACUGCUCAAGGAGUUUUUGAGGUGUCUGCAAGCAUUGUGUGAGCAGGGCAAGCGGAAUUCCUACCUCUGUGAGGUGUGGCUCACCCAGGGCCAGGCUGGCACACCCACAACAGGUCCCUCAUGGAGCACCAGGUGCAGGAUGGGUUUGUGUCCAGCUGAGCUGUGUGGAGGAGGCCUGUGGCUGCUGAGAGAUAAUUCUGCAGCCAUUGAUGAGUUUAUGUUAGAUUUAAGCUUGCAGUGUUGACUCCAUCUUCAGCUCCCUGGACAUAGGACACAGUUGUCCUGAGGAAGUCUCCAGUCGUAUCAGCCGGAUGUACUCACCUUGACAGGAGUGUAAAAUUUACAACAGAAAUUACUUUAAGACUGGAAAAGCUCUUACUUAACUGAACCAUCAUUCAAAAUGCAUUAUGAAAGUCACCAAGGAGAAGUUUUCCAUCUCACUGUCUGCAGGACUCCUGCAGGUCUUCUGAAGCUUAAGUUCAUGCAUAGGACAUGGCAGGCCUGGUCAUUUCACUUCUUGUAUGUUCUCAGUUGGAAGUCACUGAAAAUCAGAAGAAGCUCCCAGGCUGCCCCUUAAAAGAAAAAGCAGUAAUCUGGCAAAAUGAACUCAGAACACACAAAGAGGAGCCACUGGAGACUAAUCUGCAAGGUAUUCAGAUUCUGCUACCAAACUGCUUCUGGGACUUCAUGCAGUUUGCUUCAUCUGAGAGAACCUCAGCAGUGCGCAUGGAGUCAGAAUUCCCUCCAGGAAGGGCUGGAACAUCUGAGCAUAGCGGUGGGGCUCAUCCUGCAGCAGGAGGACUGUCCAGCUGCUCAGACUGGCACCUGUCCUCAGCCCAGUCCAAACCCAAAUGCCUAAGGAAGUGUGUAAGGACAAGGAAAUUGUAGAUCAUAUUUCAGCUAAGUGAUAUCUUGGUGCUCUCCCACCCCCAAGAAACAUGCAGCCAGGCAUAGUUUAUUUCUCAUUAGCAACUAAAGCGGAUUUCUGUUCUGUAAACUUGCCCGACCUCCUCUGAGCCUUACGGCCUCCCUCACAGGGAGUCCUACAGCAUGACACACCUGUUGUGAAGAGUCACUUUGUUUUUGUUUGUUUUGAAACUACCUCAUGCUAGUUGGAGAUGAAAGGAUGCCUUCUAGAAUCUGACAGUAAAACUAGAAAAGGUUUUUUAAGAUUGUAUUUUUGAAAUGUAAUUUGUGUUUAGGCGUUAGGUUAGUAUGGUGGAUAUAGCACAGUUAAGUAAUCCAGGACCGGGUUGCCUUGUGGGUAAAACAACUAAUCUAAAGGGUCUGUACUUCCAGGGAAGUCAAGUCUUAGCAGCCAUAUCAGUUUUAAGCAUGGGCAUAUUUGCUGGUAGCAGAAAAAUUCCUGAUUGGUUCCAGUUAAUGAAUCAUUUGAGCAUGCAUUUAACUCCUCUGUGCAUUUCAGACUGAGUUGUGCUGGGGUACUGAGUCUGGGUGUUACUCUGAAGGUACCUCUCUGUUUGUAACACGGUGGGAUUUUUUUUGUUUGCUGGAUAAAUACCAUAUGCUUUUGACUUUGCUAUCCUGUGUUGGAUAGUGUUGGUUUUGUGCAGAGACCUGAUUCUAACUGGGAGGUUAUUGAGAUCAAUGUGUUCUGGGAUGUUUCUGCUUCCCAAUGAUAAGAGGGAUGAAUGGUAGAGAGAAGUAAUGGGAAGAGAGAGGUAAAUGUGCAUGAAGAGCCCUGAAAUCUAAAGAAGAUAGGAAGAACAUGCAUCACCAAUCAGUCUGUUGCAUAUUGAGACACAAGAUCUCCUUGGGAUGGGGUAAUAAAUACUUUGGUAACUUCA